UACGUAGGGUGCAAGCGUUAUCCGGAAUUAUUGGGCGAAAGAGCUCGUAGGCGGUUUGUCGCGUCUGCUGUGAAAACCCGAGGCUCAACCUCGGGCCUGCAGUGGGUACGGGCAGACUAGAGUGCGGUAGGGGAGAAUGGAAUUCCUGGUGUAGCGGUGGAAUGCGCAGAUAUCAGGAGGAACACCGAUGGCGAAGGCAGUUCUCUGGGCCGUAACUGACGCUGAGGAGCGAAAGCGUGGGGAGCAAACAGG
rnacentral:rRNA from 1 species